rnacentral:rRNA from 1 species
UACAGAGGGUGCAAGCGUUAAUCGGAAUUACUGGGCGUAAAGCGUGCGUAGACGGUCAUGUAAGUCGGGUGUGAAAGCCCCGGGCUCAACCUGGGAAUGGCGAUGGAUACUGGCGGGCUAGAGUGCGGUAGAGGAGAGUGGAAUUCCCGGUGUAGCAGUGAAAUGCGUAGAGAUCGGGAGGAACAUCAGUUGCGAAGGCGGCUCUCUGGACCAGCACUGACACUGAGGCACGAAAGCGUGGGGAGCAAACAGG